GCAUCUGAAGCCUGACGAGGAUGAGAACCUCCGGGGGCAAGAGGUUCGACCCGAGCGAAGCGAGAAAACGUUGCGUCAGCAACGGCCCGCAGUGGCAAGUCAUCCUCUGUCACCGGCAG
rnacentral:sRNA from 1 species